rnacentral:rRNA from 1 species
AUUGGUUUCGGGUUUUAUUUGCGCAGCAUAGGUGGGAGGCUGGGACGUUAAUCUUACGGGAUUAAUUGAGCCAUCAGUGAGAUACCACUCUUAUAAAACUAGAACUCUAACCUUGUAUCGUUAGCCGAUCAGGGAACAGUUUCAGGCGGGCAGUUUGACUGGGGCGGUCGCCUCCUAAAAGGUAACGGAGGCGUACAAAGGUUUCCUCAGAUCGGUCAGAAAUCGAUCGAAGAGUGUAAAGGCAAAAGGAAGCUUGACUGUGAGACUUACAAGUCGAACAGAGACGAAAGUCGGUCUUAGUGAUCUGGCGAUAUUGAGUGGAAAAGUCGUCACUCAACGGAUAAAAGUUACUCUAGGGAUAACAGGCUG